GGGGGCCGGCCCGGUGGCGCAGCGGUUAAGCUCGCACGUUCUGCUUCUCGGUUCCGCUUCUCGGCGGCUCCGGGUGCGCAGGUUGGGAUCCUGGGUGCGGACAUGGCACCGCUUGGCACGCCGUGCUGUGGGCCAGAAAGUCUGUGUUUCUGCCACGUCUUCAAGAUAAUCAAAGGAAAGGAGCUGUGUGGCUCCUGCAGUCUCAGUUUACAAGACAGUUGCCCACUGAUUGUUCCAUGAAUAAAGCAGGAAGGAAGAUCUGACUUCAAGGAUGGAGGAAAGACAACCUGGCGGGGGAAAAUUAGAGAAUGAUGAAGUCCCCGGAAUUCAUAUUUCUUGACUCAGUGCUUAGGGACAUUUUUGCCUGAUGUAAAAAACAUUGUCCUACCCAACCAGCUUCACUGACAUACUGCUCCUCAACCUUGGCCAAAAUUCUCCACGGAGGCAGUCAAGACGAUGAUCAUCCAUUAUAUCCUGUCACUCUGCCUCUGGAUUCAAGUCAGAAGACCAUCUUUUCUAACAGUUCCAUUUCUCCUUUAAGAGCCCUGUGCUUCUGCAGGAAAACUAAGGAGAUUACCAGAGUCUUAAAAAAACAGGUUUACAUGAGGAUUCUAGGCAGUGAUUUCUACUGUUGCUGUUCCUGGUGCUCACUGCCAUUUAGAUUGACUCCAGUGGAGGAACACAGUAGGCUCUGAACUCAGUAUUCUUGAAGAAGUGCCACGUAGUAAAACAGGUGCCAAGUACAUAAGAUGCACCAGGUGCGAAGGAUACACAGACCGGGAAGAUCAAAAAAAGGGUGAUCAAGUCUACCUGAGGGAAACACCGGCCAGAGGGUGACUGACUCCGCUUGGAGGAAUACAGACAAGAAGGUCACCAACUCUACCUGGGAGAGCUGGAUAAGGCUUCCUCUGCUGUCUUGGGAUGUCUGAAGAUUUUUGAUGGCCGCAGUCUCAGCAGUUUCUGGCGGUAAUCAAAGGAGAGGAAUCACAGGCAGGGCCAAUGAAGGAGGGCUUAAAGGCACAGCACAGGCCUGGAACACAGCAGUGACAAAGUCUGUGUAAGUGGUAGCAGCAAGAGCAGGGAGCAAGAAUACCAAAUGAUGUACAUCUUAAGUGAAUUAAAGUGAUGAUGGUCUGAACUGGAAUGAGCAUAUGCAGAAAUGGAGAGUAUUACAACAAAAGACUUGGCAGGUUGUCUGCCUCUAUAAAUAAGGGAGAUAAAUAAAAGGUUUUUAGAGGACUAUCAUGCAAAAAUCUUCAGGUUUUUUCCUAGUAAUUACCUGAAAAGUUUU
rnacentral:lncRNA from 1 species